AAAAACCAGGACCAGAUGUUACUGAAAUGAUCAACAACCAAAGCAACAAUAGCUACAGGGGGAGGGAGAGAGCAGCAUAAAUUAAUGGCUGAUUUCUCUGGCUUUGAUGGAAUUAGCGGUACUUCUUUUCUCAAUGUGCCAUGUGAAUGUCCUUGCGUUAAACGUUUUUUUCCCCUAUUCUCUUUCUCUCUCUCUCUCUCUCUCCCCUUUUCUCCCUUUUUGACAAGUAAGGCCACCCAGCAGAAAGCAACUGAUGCAAAACCCCCAAGUAAUCCCUGUGUUUAUCUCUCCACUGUGAAGCGGUUACUGAAGAUCAUGUUGUCUGUGAACCUGACUGAGGCGUGAAUUCACCCGUUUGCAGUGCUGAAAUGCGUGCACUAGCUCAGACAGGGCAUUCAAGCCAUUUAUCAUUCAGAGCGAGAAAAAACCCUUCAAACGGACACAGCGGCUUUGACUUCAACAGGGUCCAGCAUAUCAUUGAAGGCCAGAUAUGGGGUUCUGUUGCGCAUGGCUGCACGGUACUGUUCAAUAGUGGCUGGCUGGCGGACGCUAUCAGCACUAGUUAUCAGCUCCCAUGAAGGCUCUCUUAUCACGGCGGCCCAGAGAGCCUCCCUGCAUCCUCACCGCCCCUUUUCAUAUCCCCGCUGCCGCCCCAACAUCCCGGCUUCAAAGAUUCACACUUCCCAAACUCCAUAAGAGUUUGUGAACGCUCAAUUUGCCAAAACUGUUUACAGUGUAAUUGGGCG